rnacentral:lncRNA from 1 species
GUUCACACGAAUGGGGGGAGAAUUUUGGCAGGGGAGAGAUUUUCGGCACAACACCGCCAAAUCGUACCAAUAUAUCCUUCAAACACCGGCGUCGAGGGCAUUAUCACUUUUAUACAACUCAAAUAAUGAUCGAAAUAUUUUCAUUCAAAACGUUAUUUUUUAUUAAUUUAUAAUUUCAUCCUUACACAAGAUAUAGUCCCGAGACCAAUCUAGGGUUGCUAACCAAGCCGGCUGGGCGUUCGUUCUAUUGGUUUGGUUGCCAGAGACGCGACCCAGUUGUUCAGUCUUUUUGUUCUGUAUCUAUGGGCACGACCCAGUCGUUCAUUCUAAAUGUUCCAUUGCCUUACUGGCUGGCAACGUCCUUAUCCCUUGCUUGCUAGCUAGCCAAUUUACAGUCACGUCAAACAGUGCAGACAGAAAAACAACAGUAGCUGCAUUUGUUUAAGCUGUUUUCUAGUGACAUUUAUUUGGAUUCAUCCAUAACAAUGAGCUAAUGUUAUGUGAGGCGCGAUUUCGUCAGGACACUUGUUCAGAGGAGCUAGCCAACACAAUCACUUCACAUUUUAACUGGAAAGACUGCAAACUACAGUAGCUGCACUUUUUUUCAAUUGCCAUUUUGUGAUGCCAGCUGAUUCAUGAUUUCGACUGGCUGAGAAACGCUGCCUGCCUGUCAAUCUCGUCCCGACUCGUUCAUUACUAUGGGACAGCUGUAGAUUGAAUUUGAAUAUUGAAACAAUAUUGCAAAUAUCGGAGAGACAGACAGCAAGGUUUAUACAAAUUGACUUCAGGGUGCAGUUCGCGGCCGGGCUCAAUGUGGGCGGAGUCAAACGUCGGGGCCGGGCUCAAUGUGGGCGGAGUCAAACGCGUUUAACCCAAAACCUUCCCGUCUCCUUCGAGGUCAAGCAAGUUGAGAAACAUUCCUCGGAUCUUGUCCCCUGGACCUUGGAGGACUUUUGUGGAUGAUGAUCAGGCCGGUGGUAGCUGGUCCGCUUCAAGAAGCUGAGGUACGGGAGGUCCCUCCGCACCCCCUGGACAUCGUGGGGGCCCCGGCGUAUGCAGUGCGAUCCAUACUGGAUUCCAGGCCUCAGACGAUACUCAAAACAAAAUGCACGCCGAACUGGGAGCUGUGAACUGGGAAGCAGAUGUUCUUCUAAGGGACACCCUAGAGGCAGCAAGGUGAUGUGAACUCCAAACAUUUAAAGGCACUGUUUCCCUCCCUAGUGUAAUUGGGAUGGAAGGGGAAGACCGCAUUACAACCCUUAAAGAACUACAGUUGUAUGAUGGCCUGGAUGAAGAGAAAAAUGUUCUCCUCAAGGAACCAUUCAUGUUACAGAGAGAUUAUGAGUUGUUCUAUUUGGAGGCAGUUGACAACAAGAAAAUUACUGUCUUUGUCUCUUUUGAGGAGCAAAGCCAUUUUUGAGGAGUGGUUAAACUUUGUCUGCUGUGUUAAUUGUUUCAAUUGUUAAUUGUGUUGUUUAGUAAAGAUGACGUAGAAGUCAGCCGAGUCUGAUCUCUUUACUGGAGCUGGUAUAACUUAAUGUGCAAAGCACAUUCAGCUUGUCAGUAUAUCUAUAUGGUAUAGUCUGUCUCCAUUCUCAUGAGGAAAGUAAAUAACAUUAUAAAUCAGGAUGGGUAGUAACUGUGUGUAUAUAUGCUCAAUUAAAUAAUAUAAUUACAAAGUUAUAACAUUUAUCAACACAAUUUUAACAGUACAUAACAAGUCUGCUGUUCACUGCAACAAUUUCAGUAGUUUGUCUCAAAUAUAGUAUGACGCAAAAAGUGUUACAUCUGCUGGUACUUUAUAUAAUAUUUCUUACAAUCUUCAAAAAUGAAAUAUGUUUUUAUUCAACUUGUGCCUUGCGCAAAUGAGUGUUACUGUCAAACAUCAGAUGGACAAUAAAAAGGUGGGCAGGGUCAAAUGUGGGCAGAGUCAAACGUUUGACUCCGCCCACAUUGAACCCAGCCCCGAACUGCACACUGCAGUCAGGGGUACGUGGACUUGCUUGCUAGUUGAGAUUUCUGCUCUUCACUCCAUUGUCAGUUUAGCCUACAUUUCACUGAUCUUAGUAGCAGAAAGUAUUUUUUAUAUGUGUCCUUCAAGGCAGCUGUCAAUGAUCACGUUAGGCUGCGUUUCAUUUGAUUUGUUAUGGCGGUUUGAUCGCGGAGGAGGCACUAGUAAUGUCUGCAGUUUUCGGUUUGUCAUUUUGUUUCAAGUGUAUUAGUCUAUAAAUAAAUCUCUUUGCCAAAAUUCAUCUCUCCCAUGUCUUAUUCAACUAGUAGUUGUUCUGAAAUGUUUGCUUGCCUACAUUUUACUCGGUUUAAUACAACACACAUUAA